UUUACCGUGUGCAUAAAUACGUGUAUUUACUUAGCUGUGUUUGCCUAGUUGUAGUGUACAGCAUUUGGGGUUGAGUUUGUGUUGUCUUGUUUAUUAUUGAGUUACGGUGCUCUUAACCCUUUUAUUGCUAUGAUCGUCUUCUGUUAACAUUGAGAUCACUGUAAAAAAAUUCUUUGGAUGGAUAUAAAAAAGAAACAAAUGAGGUUGAUUUUGUCUUUGCUAAGCUACAACAGUACACUUUUUUAAGAGACUGCAGCACAAACAGGUGAAAGGAGAGGAAUAAUGGAUAUCACAGAAGUCGGACAAAGAUGGUUGGGACACAAAGAGAGAAUGAGCGAGGAGAGAUGGCUGAAGAUAUUUCUAUAUGGACGAGUUCAUGAGAGCAGACUCAGCGGGAGACCACACGAUGAGGGAGGUGGUGACGUUGGCCGGGGACAGGGAGGAGUGGAGGAGAUACAAAACGAACCAUGUGGAGCUGGAGUCAAGUAAGUCAAAUACAAGCAAUGCCUUUAGGAGUUGUAGACGAUUAUGGGAAAGACUGACUUGCAGUAAGGAUCAUGUGAACUUACAGCAAUCAGAUCAUCGUAAUUUCUCACUACUGUUCUCUUCAUGGUGGUAGAGAAACGGAAAGAAGCAGGGAUACUUCCUAACGUUUCAACACAAAAAUUUAGAAAAAUAUCAGAGAACACAGUACUUUUGUUUCAACCUGAAUUACGCUUCCAUCUUUUACAUAAAUUACCUAAAUAAGUAGUAUCGAGCAUCACUUCUUGUGUAAACAAAGAUCACCCAUUUUCUAUGCUUAUGUUUCUGAUCACUAGAUGUCACUGCGCGGAAUUCGAGCACCAAACUGAGACAGGUUUCACUGCUUCAUUUCUUGUAUUCGUCUCUGCUAGUGGCGAGCGUUCAGUCGGCUAGAAGAAGCGGGUUGUGUUGCUGUUGUCUCGUCCUGCUGUUCGUCUUGCUGCUUGGCGUUGUGUUGAAACCGGCUGCAGAAUUUAUUAGUUUCGCUUCCUGACGAGGCCUUCACGACGCACUCAUCGGUCUUCCUGAGGGGACGAAGACAUAGUGGCGGCGACGAGUCAAAACUAAGAUGAUCGUCACACGCAAGUAUAAUACAUGGAAUGUAACUGCACAUCCAACUCAUUGUCUGGAAUGUCAUGGUAAUCACCUGUUCUGUGCACAGGAGCAAGCAGCAAGGAAUAAUGUCUUCUAACCCCCUCCACACUGGUGGCAUCUCUGGUGGUGGUGCUGCUGCUGCAGUUGCUACCACUACCAAGCCUUAACUACACUACUGUGGCAACUCCAGAAAAUCUCCAUCGAGAAUCUUAAUGUUUGAUGUAAAAUAAUUAAAUAUGUACUUAGUGUGUCAGACUCUGUGGACUUGCAGUGUUGUGAGUAACGAGCUUCCCAGUAUGUGCUAAGUCUUAGGACUCCCCAAUACAGUGACUAUUAUUA